rnacentral:rRNA from 1 species
GAAUAUUGGACAAUGGGCGCAAGCCUGAUCCAGCCAUGCCGCGUGCAGGAAGACGGCCCUAUGGGUUGUAAACUGCUUUUAUACGGGAAGAAAACGCCCCUGCGGGGGUAACUGACGGUACCGUGUGAAUAAGCACCGGCUAACUCCGUGCCAGCAGCCGCGGUAAUACGUAGGGUGCGAGCGUUAAUCGGAAUUACUGGGCGUAAAGUGUGCGCAGGCGGCCGAGCAAGUCGAGUGUGAAAGCCCCGGGCUUAACUUGGGAAUUGCGCUCGAAACUACUUGGCUGGAGUGUGGCAGAGGAAGGUGGAAUUCCACGUGUAGCGGUGAAAUGCGUAGAGAUGUGGAGGAACACCAAUGGCGAAGGCAGCCUUCUGGGCCAACACUGACGCUCAUGCACGAAAGCGUGGGGAGCAAAC